GAUGAACGCUGGCGGCGUGCUUAACACAUGCAAGUCGAACGAUGAAGCCCAGCUUGCUGGGUGGAUUAGUGGCGAACGGGUGAGUAACACGUGAGUAACCUGCCCUUAACUCUGGGAUAAGCCUGGGAAACUGGGUCUAAUACCGGAUAGGAGCGUCCACCGCAUGGUGGGUGUUGGAAAGAUUUAUCGGUUUUGGAUGGACUCGCGGCCUAUCAGCUUGUUGGUGAGGUAAUGGCUCACAAGGCGACGACGGGUAGCCGGCCUGAGAGGGUGACCGGCCACACUGGGACUGAGACACGGCCCAGACUCCUACGGGAGGCAGCAGUGGGGAAUAUUGCACAAUGGGCGAAAGCCUGAUGCAGCGACGCCGCGUGAGGGAUGACGGCCUUCGGGUUGUAAACCUCUUUCAGUAGGGAAGAAGCGAAAGUGACGGUACCUGCAGAAGAAGCACCGGCUAACUACGUG
rnacentral:rRNA from 1 species